GNCUAACUACGUGCCAGCAGCCGCGGUAAUACGUAGGGUGCGAGCGUUAAUNGGAAUUACUGGGCGUAAAGCGGGCGCAGACGGUUACUUAAGCAGGAUGUGAANUCCCCGGGCUCAACCUGGGAACUGCGUUNUGAACUGGGUGACUAGAGUGUGUCAGAGGGAGGUAGAAUUCCACGUGUAGCAGUGAAAUGCGUAGAGAUGUGGAGGAAUACCGAUGGCGAAGGCAGCCUCCUGGGAUAACACUGACGUUCAUGCCCGAAAGCGUGGGUAGCAAACAGGAUUAGAUACCCUGGUAGUCCACGCCCUAAACGAUGUCGAUUAGCUGUUGGGCAGCAUGACUGCUUAGUAGCGAAGCUAACGCGUGAAAUCGACCGCCUGGGGAGUACGGUCGCAAGAUUAAAACUCAAAGGAAUUGACGGGGACCCGCACAAGCGGUGGAUGAUGUGGAUUAAUUCGAUGCAACGCGAAGAACCUUACCUGGUCUUGACAUGUACGGAACCCUUUAGAGACGGAGGGGUGCCUUCGGGAGCCGUAACACAGGUGCUGCAUGGCUGUCGUCAGCUCGUGUCGUGAGAUGUUGGGUUAAGUCCCGCAACGAGCGCAACCCUUGUCAUUAGUUGCCAUCAUUAAGUUGGGCACUCUAAUGAGACUGCCGGUGACAAGCCGGAGGAAGGUGGGGAUGACGUCAAGUCCUCAUGGCCCUUAUGGCCAGGGCUUCACACGUCAUACAAUGGUCGGUACAGAGGGUAGCCAAGUCGCGAGGCGGAGCCAAUCUCACAAAACCGAUCGUAGUCCGGAUUGCACUCUGCAACUCG
rnacentral:rRNA from 1 species